UGGGGAAUAUUGCACAAUGGGCGAAAGCCUGAUGCAGCAACGCCGCGUGAGUGAUGAAGGCCUUCGGGUUGUAAAGCUCUGUCUUUUGGGACGAUAAUGACGGUACCAAAGGAGGAAGCCACGGCUAACUACGUGCCAGCAGCCGCGGUAAUACGUAGGUGGCGAGCGUUGUCCGGAUUUACUGGGCGUAAAGGAUGCGUAGGCGGAUAUUUAAGUGAGAUGUGAAAUACCCGAGCUUAACUUGGGUGCUGCAUUUCAAACUGGAUAUCUAGAGUGCGGGAGAGGAGAAUGGAAUUCCUAGUGUAGCGGUGAAAUGCGUAGAGAUUAGGAAGAACACCAGUGGCGAAGGCGAUUCUCUGGACCGUAACUGACGCUGAGGCAUGAAAGCGUGGGGAGCAAACA
rnacentral:rRNA from 1 species